UACGGGGGGGGCAAGCGUUGUUCGGAAUUACUGGGCGUAAAGGGUUUGUAGGUGGCCCGCUAAGUCACACGUGAAAUCCCUCAGCUUAACUGGGGAACUGCGUGUGAGACUGGCAGGCUCGAGGGCAGGAGAGGAACGCGGAAUUCCAGGUGUAGCGGUGAAAUGCGUAGAUAUCUGGAGGAAUACCGGUGGCGAAGGCGGCAUCCUGGACCGACAUUGACGCUGAUGAGCGAAAGCUAGGGGAGCAAACGGG
rnacentral:rRNA from 1 species